rnacentral:rRNA from 1 species
UACGUAGGGGGCAAGCGUUGUCCGGAAUUAUUGGGCGUAAAGAGCGUGUAGGCGGCUUUGCAAGUCCGUUGUGAAAACUCGAGGCUCAACCUCGAGACGCCGGUGGAAACUGCAAAGCUAGAGUCCGGAAGAGGAGAGUGGAAUUCCUGGUGUAGCGGUGAAAUGCGCAGAUAUCAGGAAGAACACCCGUGGCGAAGGCGGCUCUCUGGGACGGUACUGACGCUGAGACGCGAAAGCGUGGGGAGCGAACAGG